rnacentral:lncRNA from 1 species
UAAAAGUAAGAGAAAAAGAAGAAGAGAAAAUUAAAGAUGAAAAUGGAGAUUGAGGAAGUGAUGAGCAGCUACCAAAAACUGCCACUCCUUUCCAUGUAUCUUUGUUGGUGAAAGAUAUUUGGAAUUCAGUGCAAUUCUAUGAAGCUGUAUUCGGAUUCUGUCUUGUCAAACGCCCUUCUUCUUUCAAUUUCCAUGGAGCCUGGUUAGCCCUCCUUUCCCCAUCUUUCUUUCCCUUUUCUCAAGUCUAAAUGAUGCUCAUGCAUUUUGUUCGCAAACGAAGUCAAGAUUUGAAACUUAUGUUUUCUGACCUUGUCAUUGCAUCAUAGCUCGUUUAGUUAUUGAGAUUGUAUUUAAAUAUAUCUUUGUGUGUAUAAGGGACACUUCGGUGCACUAAGCUCCCGUUAUACGGAGUUCAGGAAAAGGUUGGACCACAAGGGUCUAUAGUAUGCAGUCUUAUCCUGCGUUUCUAGAAGAGACUAUUUCCAUAGCGUGAACUCGUGACCUCCUAAUCAUAUGACAACAACUUCACCAGUGACCUCCUGUAUAUGUGUGUGUGUGUAUAUAUAUAUAUAUAUAAUAAAUUUCUUAUUACAAAAAUAUGAUCUAACCAAAUGUUAUUGGGUUCGUCCAAACUCAUAUAUAUCGUAGCUCAACCCCUUAUUAUGUUCCAUCACAUGAUAAAUUUACCUGCUUAUAUUAUAUGUUCUAAAAAGAAUAACAUGUACCUUUUAAUGUUUGAAAACUCUUUAAAUUUAAUUUCUUAUUUUACUUUUAAUGACGUGAUCUUUAAAGAAAUAAUAUGAACUGUUCACGAUCAAAAGUUUCACGAAUAUUUAUAUGCAGAAUACUUUUUGUUAAACUUUGUACUCAAUAAAUCACCUAAUAAUUAUAGCUUAGUAACCUAUGCGCGCAUGGUUCAUCUUUAAUUUUAAAGUGCUUAAUAAUUUGAUAAAAGAUUACCUUCAAAAUAUUGAAGGCUUUACAAUUAUGGCAUUGGGAUUCACUUGCUUGAGAAUAAAGCCAUGGAUGACUUGGAUGUCAACAAUGAACCAUGCCCUAUUAAUCCAAAGGAUAAUCACAUUUCCUUCCAGGUAAAUUAAACCACUGGUAAUAAAUUUGAGUUUUAUGUAUUUUCUUGUUAUUUUUGUUAUUCAUCUCACAUUUUGUCAUGAAAUUUAAGUUUUUGGCAUUCAAACGGAGUAAGAAAUACUUAUACAAUCAGAUACCUAGAAAAUAAUGUAGCUCAGUUACUAUAAUUAAUAAAUAUUCAUUAGUAAAAUACUCUUCAUGCUCCAAUUUAUGUAGCACUAUUAUUUACUAUCUGGAGUUAGAGAGAUUUUUCUAAUUUGACCAUGGGUUUAAAAGUAGUUUUUAAAUACUUUGAAAUAUUAAUUAUUACUAUGACUUAUUAGUAAUUUUUGCGCAAUAGUUCCUCUCUCUAUAUAUAUAUAUAUAUAUUAAAAAGAUAUAGAAAAUAUAUGUUUGAGGUCUCACCCAAAAAACUAAAUUGUUUGACCCUCGUACAGUGGUGGAGUCGCCUUAUCCAAAGGAAUUGUCAUAUGCGCUGCCCAUAUCCUGAGCCUGCUUAGAAGGGACUCAAUAACGGAGAUCUUCUUUGACACGCGGACCUAGUUUCCACCAACCCAGAUGUACCCGAUUCAGUGAUGACACUGACGGUACUAUCCCAUUUUUUUUGGCUUAGGGCCUGAUGCUUAGUUUCCUUCUAACUUAGUACUGAUCUUUAUUGUCCGAUUUGCUUUCUUAGUGCUGACACCCUCGUAUGCCGAUCAACCAAUGAAGCGGCAGAAGAACCUAUUUGACAGUAAUCUAGAAGGAAC